rnacentral:rRNA from 1 species
UUGGGUUAAGUCCCGUAACGAGCGCAACCCUUGUCCUUAGUUACCAGCACGGUUAUGGUGGGCACUCUAAGGAGACUGCCGGUGACAAACCGGAGGAAGGUGGGGAUGACGUCAAGUCAUCAUGGCCCUUACGGCCUGGGCUACACACGUGCUACAAUGGUCGGUACAAAGGGUUGCCAAGCCGCGAGGUGGAGCUAAUCCCAUAAAACCGAUCGUAGUCCGGAUCGCAGUCUGCAACUCGACUGCGUGAAGUCGGAAUCGCUAGUAAUCGUGAAUCAGAAUGUCACGGUGAAUACGUUCCCGGGCCUU